rnacentral:rRNA from 1 species
AUGUCAAAUUCCAAAAACCAGCGAGCAGUAUUUACAGAAAAAAGUCUUCGUUUAUUGGGAAAGAAUCAAUAUACUUUUAAUGUCGAAUCGGGAUUCACUAAGACAGAAAUAAAGCAUUGGCUCGAACUCUUCUUUGGUGUUAAGGUGGUAGCUGUGAAUAGCCACCGACUACCUGGAAAAGGUAGAAGAAUAGGACCUAUUCUGGGCCAUACAAUGCAUUACAGACGUAUGAUCAUUACCCUUCAACCGGAUUAUUCUAUUCCACUUCUAGAUAGACCAUAG